rnacentral:rRNA from 1 species
CCUACGGGGUGCUGCAGGGGGGGAUAUUGCACAAUGGGGGAAACCCUGAUGCAGCGACGCCGCGUGUGGGAAGACGGUCCUUUGGAUUGUAAACCACUGUCCCCAGGGACGAAAAUGACGGUACCUGGGGAGGAAGCUCCGGCUAACUACGUGCCAGCAGCCGCGGUAAUACGUAGGGAGCGAGCGGUGUCCGGAAUUACUGGGUGUAAAGGGAGCGUAGGCGGGGAUGCAAGUUGGGUGUCAAAACUACCGGCUCAACUGGUAGUCGCACUCAAAACUGCAGCUCUUGAGUGAAGUAGAGGCAGGCGGAAUUCCUAGUGUAGCGGUGAAAUGCGUAGAUAUUAGGAGGAACACCAGUGGCGAAGGCGGCCUGCUGGGCUUUUACUGACGCUGAGGCUCGAAAGUGUGGGGAGCAAACAGGAUUAGAUACCCCUGUAGUC